UUGCAUCCGCUGAUAGACCUGAAGCAGGCUCUUUUGGCUUCUGGGUUUGCAUAGAGAUGCUAAACUAAGUCUUCCUCAUGUUUACUGACUGCUACAUUCUAUAGCAGCUACUGUCUUGUUUUUUAAUUGAGGAAUACAUGU